CUCUAUUUAGCAGAUCCCUUUCCUCCUCAUCCUCCUCCAUCCCAUUCGGCCUCCACCUCGCGAAGCAUCACGACGCCGCCGCCGACGUUCCUCUGCAUCGUGCAGUUAAAUCCCUAGCUAGUUCCCUGCUACCCACGUCAGGCGACCAAGCAGUGAGACUACAGUUUACCGGAGAGGUCAGCGGCGUCGCGACUCGUGCGAGACCUUCUGGCCGGCGUACCUAUCAAUGGCGGGAGUCGGGAGAGGUCUUAUAUGGCAGAUCUACGUCCAGCCAGAGGACGGAUGGACUCCGGCAGAGUUGGAACUUGGAACUGCGCGUGAGCGGAAUAUCUGACGAGGAACUCACUACUGUGUUGCUCAACAAUCUAUGAUGGUUCAGUACUGUGGUGAUCCAGAUGGAGGCGAGGUCGACUUUGCUCCUUGAUAGUAAAUGUUUUAUUGUGUUAGUUCUAUUAUAUAUGCAUUAAUUAGACUACAAAUGGCUCCAUUAAGAGCAUUGCUUUUAAUGAAAAAUAUUAUCUUCACGCCGUCGCAGUGGUUCCUUUUUUUUCAUGUCAUCCUGGUCAGAGUUUUUCAUCAAUCUUCGGUCUAGCCCUUGGCAGUGGAAGUUGUCUCGACGGCGACCUACGUGGCUUGGCACCUAUGGAAAGAGAGGAACCUGCGGAUUUUCCAGAAGGAGAACUCCACGGUUGAUGAAAUUUUGGACGAGGAGCUUGCCGAUGUCUAUGGCAGUCGAUCUAGAUGGCGGCCAGGUCAAGUUUGUUCUUUUGAGAAGGAAGGGAGAGACGGCAGCAGGUGAUUCCUAGUCUGUCAAGACCAAAAAGGGGCAGAAAGUGGCAUUGUUGCAUCAAAUGUUGUAACAAUGAGCAGAUGAAAUUUGGUGAUUGUAGGACUAGGAACUUGCUACUGGUGUUGCUCAGCAGUCUAUGACAACGAGUUUGUUCCAGAUGGCGGUGAGGUGGCCUUUGUUCCUUUUUGAAAGUAAGAGUUUUGUUGUUUUAGUUCUCUUGUAUAUGUGCAUUAAUUGGACCGUAAAUGGCUCCAUUGAGAUAAUUACCUUUUAAUGAUACGAAUGAUGUCUUUACAUCGCAGUAGUUACUUAUUGUUUUCUUUUCCAUCUUGACCAUAAUUUUUCAUAAAGUAUAAACAUACAACUGAUUGAUCUAGCCUCAUUAUGGUGUAUCAUGAGGCCAAGAGAGCAUGUAGAGUGACAAAAAGCGUCUAGUCUUUCCUUAUAAAACAAGACGUACCACUAAAACUUAUGAAGUACUCCCUCCGUUCCGAUUUACUCGUCGUGGUUUUAGUUCAAAUUUGAACUAAAACCACGACGAGUAAAUGGGAACGGAGGGAGUACAAUACACUCUUAAUCCCGUCAUUUUAUUUGUGUAUUAAUGAGUGUAUCUUAAUUUACAAAUAAAACGAUAAAAUUAGGGAGUGUAUCUUACUUUAUAGGUUUCAGUCAUAGUUCUCUUUUUAUAAUGAAAGCAUGAGCGCUUUCUUUGCUCAAUCUCCAUGCUCUCUGGCCUCAUCAUCUGCCAUAAUGAGGUUAGAUCAAAGUUGUACACUUGUACUUACAAAAGUUAUGAAUUUAGGAUCAGAUGAAAAAAAAAGGAACUAUUGUGAUGAUGUAAAGACAUUUUUUUUCAUGAAAAGUUAUGCUUGUAGUUGUGCCAAAUUUUGCUCCAAUUAAUGUGUACACAAAAGAACCAAAAAAAAACAAACACGCUUACCCAGUGGCGGAGCCGGGAAUAUAGUAUGAGGAGGGCCAAGUGUAGUAAGUCCUUGCUAGGGAGGGCCAGCUCAUAAGAAUACACCAGGUAAAUCAUCCACUUAUUGAUCUUGCCUUGUUGUGGCGGAUCAUGAGGCCAGAGAGCGUAUAGUGUCCAAAAAGGCAUCUAGUCUUUCAUUAUAAAACUAGAACUAUCACUAAAACUUAUAUGAAGUAAAAUACACUACUUAACACUACUAACACCAAAAAGUAUUUCCGUACAGCUAUUUUCUAGAUAAAAUAGCUACCGCGAAGAUAGAUUGGUUUUGCUUCUGAAUCAAUGUGUUGUGUAAUUAUGAAUGCCUCUUUUAUUUGCCAGGUUCCUGAGAUCCUGUAUAGGUCUCUUGAUGUGAACCUUGUGAUUGGAAUGUCUUUCAAGGUCUGACCUUAUAUAGACUUUUGUUUAAACUGAUCGAUUUUUUGGAUGAACAUUACGAUUUCGCAACCAUUUGCCCAUUUUUAUCUAUGACUGGCUAGUUUUUUUUUCUUAAGGUGCUAGAUUUGAUCGUCACUCUUUGUGGAGAUGAAUCAUAUGAGCAGCUAGAUGUUGUCAUGUAAUGUUCCAUAUGGUGAAGAGGAGACUGGUAAAGUACGUGCUAGGAGGUACUGUAUGUACAUAGUGAGUCAGUUGAAAAGCAGUGGCGGAUCUAUGAUCUCAAAACACUCUGGGGGUGCCACGGUUAAUUUUUUUAAUGUAAUUUGGUCUAAAUGUAUCAUAGCUCCAAAUUAGCAUUAAGAUGUUAGAUAAGUAUUGUUAGGUAAGGUUUCUUUGCGCAACCCUUACAUUUCCAUGUCAUGUUUGUGUUGUUUCCUUCAAUUUCCCUUUUAUAUAGUUAUAUCGAUGUUUUGCCAUAUUCUUGUUUGGGAUGUAGGCGGUAAUACAUUUAUGUUGUGGGAUAAGAUACAGUAGACAGUGCAGGCACACGGUGCCCUCAUACUGAAAGUAUGAUGGAAGAGAAGGACAUGACACCUGUGGCCAGGAGGAGCCUCCUCCUGCAGCCCACUCUAUCUGAGUGCUGCAGGACGCUGAACAUAAUAUUUUCCUAGCUGCGGAUUAUACUGAUCUUGCUGCAGGAAAAAAUGAGGCUAAGGAGGGAGGGAAGAACGUGAUGGACAGCAAGGAUGGUAUGGCAGUGACCGGUCCAGGGGCUACCGGCACACUGUCAGGCGUUGAUGAGAGCGACAUGGAGGGCCAUGAUGGUAACACGCUGCUCUAUCGCCAUGUGCAUGGCCGUUCUUUGGCCAUUCACUUUGUUGCAUGCAACGGCUAGCUCCUCUGUAUUGUCAAUACUACAAAAUACUCUGUUUUGUCAAAACCACGGUAUGUUAUACCUACAUGCUAAAUUACAAUACUUUACUGCCAAACAUAGCCUAACUUUUGUCACUUCUGUUUCUGAAUCUUCAAUCACACUACCUUGUGGUACCAUGGACAAACCAAAAAUCAUCUGCCUAUAACUCGAGAGCAUGCCAGGAUUCUGUCUACUGCAUUUCAUAGGAGAAAUAUC